CCGCAUUGUUCCCUUUGUGACACCAAGCUCCAGCCCUUACCUGUCAACACCCAGAAGGUUCAGUGUCACACCAAUGGUACACAGGUCAAUGGGAUCAUCGCCAUAAGGAAAUAUGAAUCGUCCCUGUGUGAACUGCUUGAAAGGUUUUGUCACCUUCCUCAACUUCAUCUGCUGGUUGUGUGGUGCCUUCAUCGUGGGUUUUGGAGAGUUCCAGAUGAUGCACUCUAGAUUUGGCUCCCUCAUCACAUCCUUCUGGCCCAUAUACCCUGCCAACACCCUGAUAGUCACGGGUACCAUUGUGACGUGUGUAUGCUUCCUGGGAAUCAUGGGGGCCCUGAUGGAAAACCGCUGUAUGCUCAUCACUUUUUUCAUCCUGCUGUUUAUCUUGAUGCUGGUGGAGCUGGCCAUGGCCUGCGUGUUUCUGGUGUACGAGAGGGAGAUUGACAAUUUCUUUGAGAAAGACCUGAUGCGUAGCUUGGAGACAUACAAGAAUUCUACGUCAGAGGGGAACGUAACCAUUAAAGAGGACUUUGAUGUGGUCCAGCAUAUUUUCAGGUGCUGUGGGGUCCACGGCGUGGCAGACUGGGAGGGCAACGUGCCCCUCUCCUGUUGUACCAAAAACCCCUGUAACAUCAUCCCCCAACCCAACUGGCAGGAGGUGUGCUUGAUUCUCUGUCAACAUCCCAAAAGGGCUGCCAUAUGAAGCUCAGGAACUGGUUUGCGAGGAACUUUCUAAGCACUGGAGCAGGUGUCGUCUCCCUUUUCAUUCUACAGUUCAUUUGCAUGUGUUUCACCAUCCCCAUCUUCUGCCAGUUCAGUCGUAAUGGAUAUGGUUACAAGUGAAAGGAGAACCCAUGACUUUCAACUGGCUUAUUACGCAAUACAGGAUCUCAUUAACAGGAGACAAAAUAACAAUAGAUUAAAUUAUGUAGAGCUUUUUAAUACAUGAAAAUUCUCAAAGAUGUAUUGAUGUCCUAUGUGGCUCAGUUGGUAGAGCACGGCCCUCGCAAAGCCGGGAUUGUGUGUUUGAUUCCCACGGGAGAGCAUUGCGAUGCACUCACUGUGAGUCGCUCUGGAUAAUAGCGUCAGCUAAAUGACUAAAAUGUAGAUGUAAUAAGGAUAUCUUUUUCCUUCAGAUGUUUAGCUUUUGUUUGAUUGUUUAUUUAAGCAAUAAGGCCCGAGGAGGUGUGAUAUAUGGCGAAGGGCCUUCUAUGCAGGAUGCAACACGGAGUACCUUAUUGCUUUCAUUAACUGGUUACCAACAUCAUUAGAACAGUAAAAAUAAAUGCUUUGUCAUACCCGUGGUAUAUGAUCUGAUAUACAACGGCUGUCAGCCAAUCAGCACUCAGGGCUCGAACCACCCAGUAUAUAAUUAAUCAAUAAGGCACAAAAGGCUGUGAUAUAUGGCCAGUAUACCACAGCUAAGGGCUGUUCUUAUGCACAACUCAACGCAGAGUAAUUAUAAACUGAGUGGUUCGAGCCCAGAAUGCUGAUUGUCUGACAGCUGCGGUAUAUCAGACUGUAUACCACGGGUACAUGUAUUUUUCUGCUCUAAUUACGUUGGUAACCAGUUUAUAAUAGCAACAAGGCCCCUCGGGGGUUUAUAUUUAACCUUUCUGAGAGAAGUAAUGCUAUGAGUAGUAAUACUUAGCAUAUGACCAAGUAUCUAACAAAAUAAAUUGGCAAGAACAGUUGCUAUUGACACUUUUGAGUAAUUUGAGCACAGGAGGUUGCUGGCACCUUAAUUGAGGACAACGGGCUCAUGGUAAUGGCUGGAGUGGAAUUAGUGGAAUGGUAUCAAAUACAUCAAACGCACGGUUUACAUGUGUUUGAUGCCAUUCCAUUUGCGCCGUUUCGGCCAUUAUUAUGAGCCGUCCUUCCCUCAGCAACCUCCUGUGAAUUUGAGCUAUCGUUCUGUAUUUUUGUGUUUUAAUUUCAUUCUGGAUGAAUUGCACCGUAGAAACUAAUAUGUAUGUAUGUUAUUGUGAUUGUUUCAAAACCACAGGUAAAUUAACAUUAAUCAACUGGAUUCUUGACUGCUCAUACCUGUCUAUUAAACCAUAGAUUCGCAAUAAAAAUUUGGAUGUGCAUAAAAACCUUUUUACUCUUAGUGUCAUUCUGGAUGCAUUUGGAAAGUCUUCAGACCCCUUGACCUUUUCCCCAAAAAAAUGUACAUUACAGCCUUAUUCUAAAAUAGAUUUUAAAAAAAGAAAAAAGAAAUCCCCUAAAAAAUUCCCCUCAUCAAUCUACACACAAUUCCCCAUAAAGACACAGCAAAAACAGGUUUUUAGAAAUAUCACAUUUACAUAAGUAUUCAGAUGCUUUACUCAGUACUUUGACUGAGUAAAUAACCUACUUUGACAGCGAUUACAGUCUUGAGUCUUCUUGGGUAUGACGCUAUAAGCUCAGCACACCUGUAUUUUUGGAAUUUCUCCCAUUCUUCUCUGCAGAUCCUCUCAAGCUCUGUCAGCUUGGAUGGGGAGCUUCACUGCACAGCUAUUUUCAGGUCUCUCAAGAGAUGUUCGAUCGGGCUAAAGUCCGGGCUCUGGCUGGGCCACUCAAGGACAUUCAGAGACUUGCUCCAAAGCCACUCAUGCAUUGUCUUGGCUGUGUGCUUAGGGUUGUUGUCCUGUUGGAAGGUGAACCUUUUCCCGAGUCUGAGGUCCUGAGCGUUCUGGAGCAGGUCUUCAUCAAGGAUCUCUCUGUACUUUGCUCCGUUCAUCUUUCUCUCGAUCCUGACUAGUCUCCCAAUCCCUACUGCUAAAAAACAUCCCCACAGCUUGAUGCUGCCACAACCAUGCUUCACCGUAGGGAUGGUGCCAGGUUUCGUCCAGACGUGACGCUUGGCAUUCAGGCCAAAGAGUUCAAUCUUGGUUUCAUCAGACCAGAGAAUAUUGUUUCUCAUAGUCUGAGAGUCUUUAGGUGCCUUUUGGCAAACUCAGAGCGGGCUGUCAUGUGCCUUUUGCUGAGGAGUGGCUUCCAUCUUGACACUCUACCAUAAAGGCCUGAUUGAUGGGGUGAUGCAGAGAUGGCUGUCCUUCUGGAAGGUUCUCCCAUCUCCACAGAGGAACUCUGGAGCUCUGUCAGAGAGACCAUUGGGUUCUUUGUCGCCUCCCUGAUACAAAGCCUGUCUCCCCCGUUUGCUCAGUUUAGCCGAGUGGCCAGCUCUAGAAAGAGCCUGGGUGGUUCCAAACUGCUUAAUUUAAGAAUGAUGGAGGCAUCUGGGCUCUUGUGGACCUUCAAUGCUGCAGAAAAUGUUUUGGUACGAUUCCCCAAAUCUGUGCCUCGACACCAUCUGGUCUCAGAGCUCUACGUACAAUUCCUUCGAACUCAUAGCUUGGUUUUUGCUCUGACAUGCACUGUCAACUGUGGGACCUUAUGUAGACAGGUAUGUGCCUUUCCAAAUCAUGUCCAAUCAAUUGAACUUACCACAGGUGGACCCCAAUCAAGUUGUAGAAACAUCUCAAGGAUUAUCAAUGGAAACAGGAUGCACCUGAGCUCAAUUUCAAGUCUCAAAGCAGGGUCUGAAUACUUAUGUACAUUUCAGUUUUGUAUUUGUUAUAGCAAAAAUUCUAACCUGUUUUUGCUUUGUCAUUAUGGGGUAUUGUGUGUAGAUUAAUGAGGAAAAAAACAACGUAAUCAAUUUUAGAAUAAGGCUGUAAAGUAACAAAAUGUGGAAAGUCAAGGGAUCUGAAUACUUUCCGAAUGCACUGUAAAUAUACUGUAUGAUUGAAACAACAAUGAGUAAUCUUUUUCUUCAUUAAGUAUUUCUGAACAUAGUUUUUUUAUGGUAGAAAACAACAGCCCCAAAUUUCCCUCAGCGUAAGGGAGAACAGGGUUCACAUCUUUGCUAAACGUGGCAGAGGAGGCUGGCGGGAGAAGCUAUAGGAGGAUGAGCUCAUUGUAAUGGCAGGAAUGGAAUAAAUGGAAUGGUACCAAACACAUAAAGCACAUGGAAACAACAUUCAUUUAAUUCCAGCCUUUACAAUGAGCACCUCCUACCAAACCUCUUC